rnacentral:lncRNA from 12 species
UACAAUAAAGUGGAAGCAGAAGAAAACCUAAUUCAUUCGAAAUCACAUGUCUCCUUGGCCUGGGAGCUGGACUCUCCUAGUGUCCAGGUUGCCCCAAGGAGGAGACAAUCCAGGACCAUGUAUGGCAGAUACGCUCAGUAUACACACCUCCCUGGGGCAGACUGUCAGCCUGCAUAAUCAACGUCGCCUCGGCGCUAGAGGAAACUUCCAGAGAACCACUUCCUUGUCCUCGGAAAAAGAAGCUAGCGGUCUCAGGAAUUGCAGAUCAUUAUCUUUCCAUCACCAGGAAGGUAGAGCCCAAUAAACAAAGUUCCUCCAUCAAAAACGACAGCACAGAGAAGACUAGAAACCCGGUUCUUCAUGGUGUCAUUGAACCACUGACUCAAAUCGGCUCUGAAGUAAAGCCCACAUUACCACUUCUUGGAUGA